rnacentral:misc_RNA from 1 species
CAGUUCUGGAUGUAAAUAAGGAAUUGGAUCCUUGUGAAACUCUAAUGGAUAUUGAUCUAAGCCAAUUCCAUGGCUCCCUACCCAAAGGGAAGGAUGAGAAGGACUCAAAUUGUUGGACUUCUCCAGGUGGAAUGGGAUUUAUGAUAAGGGGAAAGACUUACCUAAAGGAUAACUCUAAGGUAAUGGGUGGGGAUCCCCUUCUCAAACUCUUAGCUGUUGAUUGGUUCAAAGUUGAUAGUGCUGUGGAUAGAGUUGCAUUGCAUCCCAAGUGUCUGGUACAGGUAAAAUCAUAGUUUUAAUUUGAAGUUGCAAUUUAUUUCAUAUUGUAGGGAAAAACUGAAAAAACAAAUCUAUAUACUGACCUUUUCUAUUUCACAAUUUAUUUGUAGUAGUCCAAAAUUAGCUCUCAUUUCAGCAAAGUCCUUUGUUGUUUGAUAGUCUGCUAUAUCUUGUUAUGCAAUUAUGGAUAUCAUUCCAAAGCCACAAUGUAUGUGAUACUUGGAAUAGCUUGAUUCUUGCUAGGUGUUUUAAUAUGGUGCGUGGAACUUCUCUAAAUUGUAUUAGUAGAUAAAACCAUAGUCCUCUAUGCUAUAUGCUAUAUAUUGCUUCACCAGUUUUAUGGAAGAUUAGCCUGUCAGAAAUACUCUGUAGAAUUCAUUUUAUGAGCAAGUGAAUUAUUUUCUGUUGUUUGGUUUUCGCAUUGAAACGGGAGAUUAAUUUUGUGGCAGGAAACCAUGAGAAAUUCUGAUCUACAAGGUUUAUAGUUUUUCUACUUGCUUUUAAUAUACUUGAAUGAAAUAUAAAAUUACAGAAAAAAGGGUUAAAUUGUGACUGGCAGCCACUAACUGUACUUGGUGAUGGGCUGGCAUUGAACUAUUAGCUAUGUGACUAUGGUCUCUUGUAGCGUUUCUUUCCUUUAAGUUUGUAUCAGUGCACAAAUAGCAUCCUGCUUGCAACUGUUAAAACUCCUUUUCCUAGAAAAUGGCUUUAGGUUUCCCGUUGAUUAGGAAACUGGUUGUAAUGGCCAUAACAUAUGCCGGUUUUCGCUGUGAUUUUCAAAUCACUGGGUAUAUCAGAAAAUAGCCAAAAAUCUGUUACGUAUUGGUCGAUGGGAUACAUAAUGGACAAUAUUUAAAACCCUGGUAUCAACAGAGAAACAGAUUUUUCUUAUUUUCCACGAUGGAAUGUUACGAAACGGCACUCUCAAAAGCAGAAGAAACAAGAAGAGAAGAAGACUAGACUGAUUAGUAGUGUGC